UACAGAGGUCCCAAGCGUUGUUCGGAUUCACUGGGCGUAAAGGGUGCGUAGGUGGCAGGGUAAGUUUGAUGUGAAAUCUCCGAGCUUAACUCGGAAACUGCAUUGAAUACUAUCUUGCUCGAGGUUUGGAAGGGGGACUGGAAUUCUCGGUGUAGCAGUGAAAUGCGCAGAUAUCGAGAGGAACACCAGUGGCGAAGGCGAGUCCCUGGACAACACCUGACACUGAGGCACGAAAGCUAGGGGAGCAAACAGG
rnacentral:rRNA from 1 species